rnacentral:hammerhead_ribozyme from 1 species
AUCUAGCUGACCAGUCCCAAAUAGGACGAAACGCGCGUCCUGGAU